rnacentral:lncRNA from 1 species
AUUUGACCUUUCCUGAAAGGACUAUUGCUGGACUAUAUACUCUGCCUAUUUUUGUUUGAUUACUAUAUUGCUUUAAUAAAGAUAUUAGAUUGUUUAUUGGCCUCAGUGUUGGUUUCCAGUGCUCACGCAGCCUAGAGGCGUUACACUAUUCAUCUAAUCCUGUUCAAGUCUUACUGGUAAAAGAGAUGAUACAAUCCAUUUAAGAGAUGAUACAACCCAUUUAAGAGAUGAUACAAUCCCCUUAAGAGAUGAUACAAUCCAUUUAAAAGAUGAUACAAUCAAUUCAAGAGAUGAUACAAUCCAUUUAAGAGAUGAUACAAUCCAUUUAAGAGAUGAUACAAUGCAUUUAAGAGAUGAUACAAUCCACCGAGAGAUGAUACAAUCCAUUUAAGAGAUGAAACAAUGCAUUUUAGAGAUAAUACAAUCCACCGAGAGAUGAUACAAUCCAUUUAAGAGAUGAUACAAUCCCCUUAAGAGAUAAUGCAAUCCAUUUAAGACAUGAUACAAUCCACCGAGAGAUGAUACAAUCCACCGAGAGAUGAUACAAUCCAUUCAAGAGAUGAUACAAUGCAUUUAAGAGAUGAUACAAUCCAUUUCAGAGAUGAUACAAUGCAUUUAAGAGAUGAUACAAUCCCCUUAAGAGAUGAUACAAUCCAUUUAAGAGAUGACACAAUGCAUUUAAGAGAUGAUACAAUCCCCUUAAGAGAUUAUACAAUCCAUUUAAGAGAUGAUACAAUCCAUUUAAAAGAUGAUACAAUCCAUUUAAAAGAUGAUACAAUCCAUUUAAGAGAUGAUACAAUCCAUUUAAGAGAUGAUACAAUCCAUUUAAGAGAUGAUACAAUCCACCGUCUUUCUGAUUGUGGACUUAUGCUGUAUCUGUGAUUUCUAGCUCUUCCUGGACUUCAUACUCGCAUUGGAAUCAAACUGUUUGCAGAGUAUAUGUGUUUAAAACAGAUCUUUCUGUGAGUAUGACUUUUACAUUGUCUUUGUUGUGUAUCAUGUAUGUCUCAUGUAACUAUGUGUAUUGUAAAUAACUGGUAGCCACUAUAUAUGUUUCCUAUAGGAUCCACAUUUUAAAAAACUAAAAAAAAAAAAACUGAAAAAAGGACUACAAUCCACCUGAUGAAGACUUUUUUUUUUGGUUUUGCAGUCUUCUAUCCAUAAUAAAGAAACAAAAACAAUCUAUAUAUAUAAAAGAGUGAUGGCAUCACGGCGACCCACAAAACAACAAAACUACAGGCCCCCCAACCUCGAAAGUUGACAACACAACCCAUCAUCCACAGCUCUAGGUUGAUACAACAAAAAGAAAAGAAAAAUAAAGUCCUAAUUAGAGAGAGAGAGAGGAAUAAUUGCUUUUAUCCAAUUGCUGCCAGUUAGAAGGCCAAGCUCCUCCAACUUGGUCUCCUAGCAACCCAAUUAAAAAAAAUAAAAAACACUAAAAAAAUUUAAAAACACUAAAAAAUUAAUACAUUAAAAUACCAUAAUAACAGAAAAUAACUAAAAAUAAUACAAGAAAAUAAUAAAAUAUAAUAAAUAAAAAGAUAACUUACAAUAAAAUUAAUAAAAAAAAUACAAAUAACGUCAAAUAAAAAUUACACAACAAUUUUUAACCAAUACCACCAUCACUUUGCCACAGCAACGCGUGGCUGGGCACAGCUAGUCAUUAUAAGAGGUGAUACAAUUUGUGUAUGUGGAACAAUCAAAGAACUAAAGAAAAUUUAUUGUUUAUGAGAAGCGGAGUAAAUUCAUCCUUCAAGAGAAAAAUAUUGUUUCUACUGUGAAUGUAACAGUCCUUUUUUAUUGUUUAACAACGCCUUUUGUAUCUGUUUUCAUAUUGAUGUGUUGAACUAAAUUUAGGUUUAAUGAUUUCUGUAUUACUGUAAUAGUGGAUACUUGUCUUUGUAGUUCCAGGGAACCCAUUUUCUUUUUUGGUCUUCCUGGACUUUGUCAGCUUUGGAACUUUAUGAGACAUUGGGAUUAUUCUUUGGUCCUCACCUUUUGUUACAUAUCUUCAUUUCUUAUUCCUGAUUUUAUAUGUUUUUUUAUCUCUUUUAUGCAAUAAGUUAUUUGCUUAUAUUCCUGGGCUCUUGUGUGGUACAGUGAUCAUAGCUGUUUCCAGGCCUGGAGUGCCACAAUAUCAAAAUUACACAAUUCCUGAAGAAUAUAUAUGUGUAUGUGUGUGUGUAUGACCAUAAAGGU